rnacentral:lncRNA from 1 species
UAUAUUUUGAGAGUAGAUGUUGUAUAGGGUGAGGUUUUGGAGAGUACUUGAUGUAUUUACAUUUUGGAAAAGAUUGAAAAACAAUGUAUGAAGUUUAAUGUAAGUUGUAUUUAAUGCUUUAAAUUUCAUAGUUCAAAUAGUUAAGUUUCUCUCUUUUGUAUACUUGUAUGCUUUUACUAGUAUCGCUUGCUCUCGAUGGUUUUAACACUGUUUGUGUUAUCGUUGUUUGAUUAUGUAUGAAAUCAAGUUGUUUUUCCUGGGGACUUGUUGUACACAAUCUCGUUGGUUAGCCUUGGGCGGACAGGGGAGACUCUGUCCGUUCGACCUCACGCCGCCGUCCUCGAACCGAACCAAAUAGGUACCGUUUUUGGGCCGUGCGGUCGGGGCGUGACAGUUGUGGUAUCAGAGCUAGUUAAGAGCAAGCAAAAGAGAGAGUCUAGGAUGACCUAGGAGACCCUAGGUUGGUUAACCCUAAGGUUAUAGGUGCGUGAGUGCGACGUGAACCUAUGACGCGGCGGAAGCUAAUUGAUUGGGUUUGGAGUUGGUGUUGUUACUCUAGUUAUGUCUAGAGAUGAUCCAAGUGGUAUUAAUUUUUGGCUUGAGGUGAUUGUGUUGGCGGCCGACAACACGAUGCCGAAAGUCGAGAAUUAAGACACUUGCAAGCUACCGCCUGAUUGAUGUUGUUUAAU